GAUGAACGCUGGCGGCGUGCCUAAUACAUGCAAGUCGAGCGAACAGACGAGGAGCUUGCUCCUCUGACGUUAGCGGCAGACGGGUGAGUAACACGUGGAUAACCUACCUAUAAGACUGGGAUAACUUCGGGAAACCGGAGCUAAUACCGGAUAAUAUAUUGAACCGCAUGGUUCAAUAGUGAAAGACGGUUUUGCUGUCACUUAUAGAUGGAUCCGCGCCGCAUUAGCUAGUUGGUAAGGUAACGGCUUACCAAGGCAACGAUGCGUAGCCGACCUGAGAGGGUGAUCGGCCACACUGGAACUGAGACACGGUCCAGACUCCUACGGGAGGCAGCAGUAGGGAAUCUUCCGCAAUGGGCGAAAGCUUGACGGAGCAACGCCGCGUGAGUGAUGAAGGUCUUCGGAUCGAAAAACUCUGUUAUUAGGGAAGAACAAAUGUGUAAGUAACUAUGCACGUCUUGACGGU
rnacentral:rRNA from 1 species